GCAAAAUUGCCACUUUUUGCUUGAGAGAUGAGCGUUUGUGUCAGUGGUAAACACCGUACAUGACACUUGGUGACGGUUAUUUUCGAUCUCUGCCUAUGACCAUAAGAGAUAUUAUUAAUUUCUCUGAGCAAAUUAAAUUAUUAUUUCCUAUUGAAGAUUUGGUAAGAUAUUUCAAAAAGCAUAAGUUUUAAACUUUAAAAUGUGCGCAUGUCUAAACAUACUAACUAAUUAUUUUUAUUUUUAUACAGAGAUAUUAUUGCCACCGACGCAGCGGGAAAAAUCCCACUGGAAAAUUAUACGACAAAGCAACAAAUGUUCGUCGAAAAAUCAAAAGGAGUUCGCAAGCCACGGAUCCUGGAAUCGAUACAAAAACAUGUCAAAUAAACGAAUAAUCAAAAACGCUACCUAAAGUGUGGCAAAAUUUGGAACCAUGGAGUAUUGUAGAGCAAACAUGGAGACACAAUUUCUUUAAGAAUGGAAGACGUUGAAUGACCACUUUUUAAGCAUUCAGUUGGUUAUUCUUUGAUUGAAAUUGACUUCGAAGCAAAAUUCCCAAAAAAAUCACAAAGCUUGUUGAAUGGAUGGCUUAAUUUUAUGAAGAAUAUAUGUAAGUAGUUCCAUAUAUGAAGGGGAAAAUAAAAGAUGGAGUCUCGAAAAACAUGUUUGCUGAAAUUGAAAAAAACCAAAUUCCGGUAAUUAAAUAUUUUGUUAUACAGCCCGCGACAAAACGAUGACAUCUCAACAUACUAACUAGCAGACCCGGCGAA